ACCGGGAGCGCGCGGGAGUGAAUCGUGAUGCGGCGCUGCCUUGGGUCUGUCUCCACCUGGCGGCCCUGGCUGUGUAGCCGGGUGCGUUGAGGGGAAACUGAGGCCCGGAGGAGGAAAGCAGCUGCUUCCCUGGAACAUUCUGCCAGGAUCCAGGUCCCAUUCCCAGCACUCACAGAGAAUGUAACUCCAGUUCCAAGGAAUCUGAUGUCUUCUUCUGGACCUUCAUAGGCACAGCCCACACAGACAUACAUUCAAGCAAAACACCAAAACGAUAAACAGUGAACCUCUAAACUUGGAUAAAAGGGUGCAAUGACGGAAUGUGAACACUUGGGGGCACUCCAGCCAAUCUUCAAUAGAGAGAUACCAACACAUUUAAUAAUUAAAAGAAAACAUGAAGGGGUCAGCAAGAUGGCUGGCUAUUAAAGGCAUUUGC
rnacentral:lncRNA from 1 species